rnacentral:lncRNA from 1 species
CCCAAUUUUACGUUUUUCACUUAAAUUCCUCCAUCUUCUCACGUUCAUCAUUACUUAUACACUCAACAGUAUAACAACAUAAAAAAAGAAACCAGUUUCAUUAAACAUUAAAGAUCACUAAUUCUCUGCGAUCAAAUGCUUACAACAUCACAAUCAACUAAUCUGUAAUAACUACAACACGAACCCAAGUCACACACAUCCACUGAGAAAUAGA